GACGAACCGUGCGAACGGUUAUUCGGAAUCACUGGGCUUAAAGCGCGUGUAGGCGGAUGGGGACGUCGGUCGCUGAAAUCCCCGGCUCAACCGGGGAACGGGCGCCGAAACGCCCCGAUCUCGAGGGACGUAGGGGGACCUGGAACUUCCGGUGGAGCGGUGAAAUGCGCAGAUAUCAGGAGGAACAGCCCGUAGCGAAGGCGGCACUCUGGGCCGAUACUGACACUGAGGAGCGAAAGCGUGGGGAGCGAACAGG
rnacentral:rRNA from 1 species